AACGAACGCUGGCGGCGUGCUUAACACAUGCAAGUCGAACGCGAAAGGGACUUCGGUCCUGAGUAAAGUGGCGCACGGGUGAGUAACGCGUAGAUAACCUGUCUUCAUGUCUGGAAUAAUACGCCGAAAGGGGUACUAAUACCGGAUAUUCUUGCUUUUCAUAAGUUAUGCAAGCAAAGGUGGCCUCUGCAUAUGCUACUGCAUGAAGAGGGGUCUGCGUACCAUUAGCUAGUAGGUGGGGUAAUGGCCUACCUAGGCGACGAUGGUUAGCGGGUCUGAGAGGAUGAUCCGCCACACUGGCGCUGGAACACGGGCCAGACUCCUACGGGAGGCAGCAGUGAGGAAUAUUGCGCAAUGGGGGAAACCCUGACGCAGCGACGCCGCGUGAGUGAGGAAGGCCUUCGGGUCGUAAAGCUCUGUCAAGAGGAAAGAAGUGUACAAUGGCUAAUACCUGUUGUAUUUGACGGUACCUCUAAAGGAAGCACCGGCUAACUCCGUGCCAGCCGCCGC
rnacentral:rRNA from 1 species